rnacentral:rRNA from 1 species
CCUACGGGCGGCAGCCGUGAGGAAUAUUGGUCAAUGGGCGGGAGCCUGAACCAGCCAAGCCGCGUGAGGGAAGAAGGUACAGCGUAUCGUAAACCUCUUUUGUCAGGGAACAAAGGCGGGGACUAGUCCCCGGAUGAGGGUACCUGAAUAAAAAGCAUCGGCUAACUCCGUGCCAGCAGCCGCGGUAAUACGGGGGAUGCGAGCGGUAUCCGGAUUUAUUGGGUGUAAAGGGUGCGCAGGGAGCCUGUUAAGUCAGCGGUAAAAGCCCGGGGCACAACCCCGGCGAGCCGGUGAAACUGGCGGGAUGGAGUUGGAGAGAAGUACGAGGAAGGCGCGGUGUAGCGGUGAAAUGCUUAGAUAUCGCGCAGAACCCAGAUUGCGAAGGCAGCGUACCGGCUCCACACUGACGCUGAGGCACGAAAGCGUGGGUAUCGAACAGGAUUAGAUACCCCUGUAGUC